CUUUACUGCAACUUGACGUUGGAACUUGGCUGUAUUUGUGCAGUAUAGGUGGGAGGCGUUGAAAAUCUUCUUGCGGGAGGAUUGGAGCCAUCAGUGAGAUACCACUCUUGUAAUGUUAGAUUUCUAACUUUGUAUCAUUAUCUGGUCAAAGAACAGUUUCAGGCGGGCAGUUUGACUGGGGCGGUCGCCUCCCAAACGGUAACGGAGGCGCACAAAGGUUUCCUCUGAACGGGUAGAAAUCGUAUCUAGAGUGUAAAGGCAUAAGGAAGCUUGACUGUGAGACUUACAAGUCGAGCAGGGACGAAAGUCGGUCUUAGUGAUCUGACGGUGCUGAGUGGAAAGGCCGUCACUCAACGGAUAAAAGUUA
rnacentral:rRNA from 1 species